GAAUACGUUCUUUCUAAGUGGAACUAUAGACAUUGAAUCCAGAAUGUUGCUGCUGCUGAUCCUGUUGUUGAAUAUUACAGUUUCAGUGUCAGGGAUCCAGAACCUGAAAGUGUCAUGCAGUCAUGAGAAGAUCUGUGCUCUGAGGGAGUCGUCUGUAAACCUGACGUGCUCUUACUCAAAUAUCAACAUCACCACUGGAUUCUGGUUCAGCUUCAAAGACUUUAGACUCCGACUACGCCGGACGUGUGAACUACACAGAGAUGACAAACUCAAGAUCAACAGACCCGAGAGAGAGAGACGCGGGGGAAUAUCGCUUCAUGCUCAUUACGGAUAAAGGAGAGAAAUACGUGAGCUCAGCUGGAGUUACUCUGACAGUUACAGAUCUGCAGGUGAUCCGUCACUACAAAAGUCAAGCUCUAAUCUGCCACACUUCCUGUCAUCUAACCUUUGCUGCUAAUGUGUACUACUGGUACAAGGAUCAAUACAUACAGGAUAACAAAGACACCCAGGGAACUUUCCCUUUAAGCAAUGAUGAAGAAGUCAGUUACUCCUGCUCUGUU